rnacentral:sRNA from 1 species
GUUCCCCUCAGGCAAUGCGCAAAGGCAAGUUUUCAGAGGGCGAGGCCACACUACGGAUGAAGCUGGUGAUGGAGGAUGGCAAGAUGGACCCUGUAGCCUAUAGAGUCAAGUAUACACCACACCACCGCACAGGGGACAAAUGGUGCAUCUAUCCCACCUACGACUACACACACUGCCUCUGUGACUCCAUCGAGCACAUCACUCACUCACUCUGCACCAAGGAAUUCCAGGCCCGACGCUCUUCCUACUUCUGGCUUUGCAAUGCACUGGACGUCUAUUGCCCUGUGCAGUGGGAGUAUGGCCGUCUCAACCUGCACUAUGCUGUUGUCUCUAAGAGGAAGAUCCUCCAGCUUGUAGCAACUGGUGCUGUGCGGUAGGUGCGGCUGUUUGGCUUAUGAAAGGUUAAUGGCAUGUGCUCCCAAAGGCCUUCUCACCACCUUCUUAUCCACAGGGACUGGGAUGACCCACGGCUCUUUACAC